AUCGAACGCUGGCGGCAGGCUUAACACAUGCAAGUCGAGCGGAGAUGAGGUGCUUGCACCUUAUCUUAGCGGCGGACGGGUGAGUAAUGCUUAGGAAUCUGCCUAUUAGUGGGGGACAACAUUCCGAAAGGAAUGCUAAUACCGCAUACGUCCUACGGGAGAAAGCAGGGGAUCUUCGGACCUUGCGCUAAUAGAUGAGCCUAAGUCGGAUUAGCUAGUUGGUGGGGUAAAGGCCUACCAAGGCGACGAUCUGUAGCGGGUCUGAGAGGAUGAUCCGCCACACUGGGACUGAGACACGGCCCAGACUCCUACGGGAGGCAGCAGUAGGGAAUAUUGGACAAUGGGGGGAACCCUGAUCCAGCCAUGCCGCGUGUGUGAAGAAGGCCUUAUGGUUGUAAAGCACUUUAAGCGAGGAGGAGGCUACUGAGACUAAUACUCUUGGAUAGUGGACGUUACUCGCAGAAUAAGCACCGGCUAACUCUGUGCCAGCCGCCGCAGUAACAC
rnacentral:rRNA from 1 species